UUCCUCGUUGCGGGCUGAGUUCGAGUUACUGCCUGUUGCGGUUAGAGCUGUUGUUGCUGUUACGAGUAGUUGGAGCUGAGGCUGCCUCUACCGCCGGAGAGCGCUCUGCCAUUGAUUCACCGGAGCUUCUGGCCGCUGCCGAAGCUGUUGCCGGACCGGUUCGAAAUCGCAGCUGCUUCGUGUUGUCAUUCUGGUAAGAAAUUAUGUUUUGAAAGCCCUACGUUAGUGUCCCGUACGUAUAUUAAAGCCUUUAUGGUAUUAAUGUCCUUAGAGUUUAGUAACUGAGGUUGCUUUUUGUAAUUUAGAACUGUUUACGCUGCUGCAAAACGUGUGGGGCUGUGCUUUGAAGCUGCCUUUGAUUUCGGGUUGAGGCGGAAAUGACUCUGUGAGACGUUUGGGUUAUGGAAUUGCGUUUUGAGGUAGGGGCGCUUUCCAAAAACUAUAUUUUUAUAUGUUGGAAUUAUUAUAUAUGGAUACUGAUGUGAGAAAAUGUGUAUUUGGUGAUUGUAUCGGCCUUAUGUAUUAUUUGAUUGACUCGAAUGUUUAUGGAUGUUGGUUUGGCUGA